UCCUGUCUCGCCUAUGGAUUCUUCUGAGAAGUCUCUUUCAUAUGCGUGGCACAUUCUGGAUGUCUGAUCAAGUGCCUGCUCCCAACAAAAGGGUUUCAAGAAGAAGGUAAAACUCUGCUAGAAAUAAAGAUUCUCCUCAGGGUCCUUGGACAUAAUCACUAUUAAGCAACGGGAAGUGAAUUUACACUCAAGUCUCCAUCUUGGCUUAUGUGUUCAUACAUUUCAGGAGCAAAUACCAUCUACAGCUAUGACUCUUCAGUUGCUACACAUGAGAACAAAAUGGUGCAAAGCCUACGGAUGAAAUGCAGCUCCAUAAAGACAAGCCAAGGUGUUUCAAGACAGCUAAUGAACAUUUCAGUAUUUGCACUUAGUCAGAUAAAGCGAUGUUUUCCAGUUGAGCAAGGAGACAGCAAUCAUUGCAGCUGAUGAGACAUUUAAAAGAAACGGCUAACAUCUUACUGCUCACAGACAGUGAUAUCAACACGACCACUAGGAAUUCAUAACACCUAUGGAAAGAAGUGUUGCAUAUAAGCAAUGAGAUAUGAGAGAAUAUUUUGAAAGAAUGCCUCUUACAUCACCCAGUCAAGCUUCUGAAAGGAUUAUUCAUUAUAAACCACACUGGCUCGAUAAUGAAUUCUGAUAGAACACAUGAUGUUAAUUCAGCCAUUCCUCUCUCUUUCAGUCUUGGAUUAAAAAAAAAAAAUAAAGAUUAU
rnacentral:lncRNA from 14 species